UGGGGAAUAUUGGACAAUGGGCGCAAGCCUGAUCCAGCCAUGCCGCGUGCAGGAUGAAGGCCCUCGGGUUGUAAACUGCUUUUGUACGGAACGAAAAGCCUUCUUCUAAUACAGGAGGGUCAUGACGGUACCGUAAGAAUAAGCACCGGCUAACUACGUG
rnacentral:rRNA from 1 species